UGUCAUCUAGAAAACCCGAGGAGAUGCGGGCUGCAGGGGACCACCCGGAGGGAGAUGGGGGGCCGGGAGGAGCGCACCGAGGACCAGGAGCGUCCGUCCCGUGUUCCGGGGUCCGUCGGGACCAGCCAAAAGCUCCCUGACUUUCCCGCAACCUGGGUUCGAUGGGGGUGCUUGGAGAUGGGCCCAAGAAGAGGAGAGGGUUCCGGAAAGGAGGAAGGAAACCCCCACCUCCCCUCUCUGCCACAGUGCCCUGGCCAUGCGACCUUGGGGGAAGUCCCUUUUAUUUUUUUUCAUGCAGAUUCCACCAGUCCCAGGUCCUCGCUUUGGUUUUGAGACUCUGUGACUAAGAUGCUAAACAUCUUUAAGUCCUAUCAGCGCUUCGAAGAUGACAUCAACCCAACUCCCCGUGACACAGCGUUCCAGAAGGCGCCCCCGACGUUCUCUGACGAGUGUCAGUAUUCUGCCACCGGUACCAACAUCCUCUCGCCGUAUCAUCCAAGACUCUUCAAGCCAAAAGGUCCGGCCGUGAUCACCUCUUCCCCUCUCCCCCCUCUCCAACCAGGGAGUUCGGGCCUCCAAGAAGCCGUAAGGACGGAGCUUCUACGACCCCUGGCGGCCGACGUGGGGAUUUCAGGGCAGAGAUGACCUAUAUCUCUUUCCAAGCUCGGAGUUUCUGGCCUCUGCCUCCCCCCACCCCAUGUUAUCUCUGCACCCCUACCCCAGACUUAGCGGCCCUCCUCCUUUUUUAACCCAUUGAUGCAGUUUAAAUGACUCCCUCAUCAUUUCCCCCCAUCCCUCCACGAGGGAGGGGGAUUCUAGGUGGUCUUCCUCCGCCUCCCUCCCGGCCCAAUCCUACCCAGACUCAUUGCUGAGACAACCUAGGAGACCCUGGCUUCCAGCCCGUUCCAAGUAAAGGUGGUAGCAGGAACAGCAGCCGGGCUCGGAGGUCGCACUCCCCAUCCCGAGUCCUGAGUCCCCGGGCCAGCCCCGCCCGCUCGUUGGACUGCGCACUGCAGCCCUCCUGUCCCUCCCCCCUCCCUCUCCCUCCGCGGUCCAAUCGCUUGCCCUGCCCUGCCAGUCUGUCCCCUGCCCCCAUCCACCCAGUGCCUCUCAGGUCCGACGUCUGGACCUGCAGAGGGAAGAUGGGAGGGGGACCCUCGAGGUCGACGUGGGAGGCCUGCAGAGACUUGAGACCUAGGCAAUCCUUGCAAAGGCCGGGUGGAAUAAGAGAUUAGGGGUCACACAGCAGGUGAGGGGUGGGGGAGCCACCGAGCGAUCUUAUGCCGAGCCCCGUUCUGCCUGCCAUAAAUAGCAUUACAGUUGAAAAUACACGAUCCGCGCUCGCCAUAUUCCCCACAUUAUGAUAAUGAGCUUAAGAAACCCCAAGUAGGGUGAACCAUUAAAUAUGGUAGUUAAUGUUCCCACACCCACCCUCCACAGUGAUGUCUGCAAUGGCCUCUGCCUCUCCACAGACCUAAAGCCCGGAAGGUCCAAGUCACUUGUUCGGGACACAGCUUUUCUUUUUCUUUCAGGGACAGAGAACCCAGACUUGAUCCAGCCUCGGGGAUCCUGUCAAUCUUAAGCUCUAGAACGUGGGGGGGGUGUGAAAGGAACAUUCUAGGUCCUUCGUCAACUCUAGGGGUCCCCAGCGAAGGGUGUGUUUCCCAGGGGGUGACCUCCAAACUCCAAGAUGAAUCUUUCAAAAGCCCCCCUGGCUGACACGGGGGCACACGGACCCUGAAUGGCCAGCUUCCAGCUGAGGCCUGGCUUGGUCCGAUGAGCCCACCCGGGUGACCCAAGCUCUUGGCCACUGCCCUGGCCCAGAGACCAGCACCCACUUCCCACGUCUCUGGACUCCUGCAGCCCACAGCUCCCCUAACACCAAAGUGGCCCUCCCGGUGGCAUCCGCAUUGGUCUGGAGCCCCCGCCCCACCCAGCGCGACAUAUGUCAACACAGCCCGGCGGCUGCUUCUGGCCUGAACAAUAUUUGCCUUGGGGAAUCUGGGUCGGUUGCUAUGGAUACCGGUACCCCCCAGGACCGGAAGAGGCUAAGGGGAGCUGACUGCAUCUGCCUCAUCUCCCUGGGAUUUUGUCUUUGGCGUAGUUGACACAGUCCUGCCAUUCUGGACUCUGCCCCUCCCUGACUUCCCUCUCAGGUCUCUUCCAUCGCACUUCCGUUUUUUCCUGGCGGUGGAUUCCCUCCUCCACGGCUAAGUGUGCAGGCUAGCUCCCCCUUCUUUGACUCCCAAGAGUUGGGACACUGUCUGGCCGCGUCUCUGAACCGGAGGGGCGAGAGACAAGAAGAGCCAGGAAAGCCAGGACCAGGGACAAUGGAAGGAAACAGACAAGGCAUCCAGAGACAAGACAGGAAAGGAAGGAGAGACCCACAGGAGUUAGAAGACAAGAUUACGUCUGGGCCGGAGCUCAGCAGUACAGAAGCGUGCCUAGCUUGUGUGGGACCCUGGGCCUCCAUUCCCAGGAUGCAAAAUUAAAGCAGAUUUUAAA